rnacentral:rRNA from 1 species
UGGGGAAUCUUGGACAAUGGGGGCAACCCUGAUCCAGCCAUGCCGCGUGAGUGAUGAAGGCCUUAGGGUCGUAAAGCUCUUUCGCCUGUGAAGAUAAUGACGGUAGCAGGUAAAGAAACCCCGGCUAACUCCGUGCCAGCAGCCGCGGUAAUACGGAGGGGGUUAGCGUUGUUCGGAAUUACUGGGCGUAAAGCGCACGUAGGCGGACCAGAAAGUUGGGGGUGAAAUCCCGGGGGCUCAACCCCGGAAACUGCCUCCAAAACUAUUGGUCUAGAGUUCGAGAGAGGUGAGUGGAAUUCCAAGUGUAGAGGUGAAAAUUCGUAGAUAUUUGGAGGAACACCAGUGGCGAAAGGCGGCUCACUGGCUCGAUACUGACGCUGAGGUGCGAAAGUGUGGGGAGCAAAACAGGAUUAGAUACCCCUGGUAGUCCCACACCGUAAAA